rnacentral:rRNA from 1 species
AGCAGCAGUGGGGAAUAUUGCACAAUGGGCGCAAGCCUGAUGCAGCAACGCCGCGUGAGGGACGAAGGCCUUCGGGUUGUAAACCUCUUUUAGCAGGGAAGAAGCGAAAGUGACGGUACCUGCAGAAAAAGCACCGGCUAACUACGUGCCAGCAGCCGCGGUAAUACGUAGGGUGCAAGCGUUGUCCGGAAUUAUUGGGCGUAAAGAGCUCGUAGGCGGUUUGUCACGUCUGCUGUGAAAAUUCGAGGCUCAACCUCGAACUUGCAGUGGGUACGGGCAGGCUAGAGUGCGGUAGGGGAGAUGGGAAUUCCUGGUGUAGCGGUGGAAUGCGCAGAUAUCAGGAGGAACACCAAUGGCGAAGGCACAUCUCUGGGCCGUAACUGACGCUGAGGAGCGAAAGCAUGGGGAGCAAACAGGAUUAGAUACCCUGGUAGUCCACGCCGUAAACGGUGGGUGCUAGAUGUG